rnacentral:rRNA from 1 species
ACGAACGUUAGCGGCGGGCUUAACACAUGCAAGUCGAGCGAGAAAGGUCACUUCGGUGACUGAUUAAAGCGGCGGACGGGUGAGUAACACGUGGGUAAUCUACCCCUCAGCGGGGGACAACCACUCGAAAGGGUGGCUAAUACCGCAUACGUCGUGAAAGGCUGAGGUCUUUCGCGGGAAAGCUAGCCUCUGUUUCAUGCUGGCACUGAGGGAGGAGCCCGCGUCCCAUCAGCUAGUUGGUGAGGUAAAGGCUCACCAAGGCGAAGACGGGUAGCUGGUCUGAGAGGAUGAUCAGCCACACUGGGACUGAGACACGGCCCAGACUCCUACGGGAGGCAGCAGUGGGGAAUAUUGGACAAUGGGCGCAAGCCUGAUCCAGCCACGCCGCGUGAGUGAUGAAGGCCUUCGGGUCGUAAAGCUCUGUGGGGAGGGACGAAAGGUUCAUGGUUAAGAGCUGUGGAUUUGACGGUACCUCCUUAGCAAGCACCGGCUAACUCCGUGCCAGCAGCCGCGGUAAU